GACACAGUAGAUGUUUUGUUCAAAUUCGUCUCAAUUAACUCGACCAAUAGAAUUACAUUCUAUUAUUCAACAUCGAGUGCYAUCACAAUAGCUGUGUUAUUUUAUUGAAGUAAUUUUUCACCAAAUUGCUGUCCGAGUCCAACACAGUGACUGACGUUGUGUAGUUUAAACGCUUUUUCUUCAAACAUUGCGGUAUUGUCCGUUGGRACUGAACGACAAGAUGUGAAGUUCUCCUGCUGGACAGUUCUUGACUGAAGUGAUAGCAGGCAGCRAAAGUUUCACACAGAGACGCCAGGAAGUUUAACUCAUAAACGAACGACUUUAGUGAACAAUGGCUAAGAUUGAGGAAGAAACAUGGUUUAUAGGCGUAAUGGCUGGUAUAGGCGCCGUUAUAUUGAUACUUAUCAUCAUYAUCAUCGUACUUUGCUGUUUGUGGWUAAGAAAUGUAAAGAAAGAAGAAGAACGAAUCGAAAAAAACAAUAAUAAGGACGAAGAAGCGACUACUGACAAUCAAAACUGGACUCUUGUGCAGCCUGGAGACGUAUAUUCACCGCCAUCUUCCAGCAAUACAUCACGUGUCAUUCGAGGUAAUGAAGCUAAUGUUGCUGGAUCAUCGCUGAUUCACAUGAACAAGGCAAUGAGAGCCAAUGCUGUGGGAACACAAACCACUUACACCCAAACAACAUUUGAAA